rnacentral:rRNA from 1 species
CCUACGGGAGGCAGCAGUGAGGAAUAUUGGUCAAUGGCCGGAAGGCUGAACCAGCCAUGCCGCGUGAAGGUCAGUGCCCUUUGGGCGUUAAACUUCUUUUGUGCGGGAGCAAUAAUGGUCACGUGUGGCCAGACGAGAGUACCGUACGAAUAAGCAUCGGCUAACUACGUGCCCGCUGCCGCGGUAAUACGGGGAAUGCAAGCGUUAUCCGGAUUUAUUGGGUUUAAAGGGUGCGUAGGCUGUGAGGUAAGUCAGCGGUGAAAUGCCCCCGCUCAACGGGGUGAAGUGCCAUUGAUACUGCCUUGCUGGAAUGCGGAUGCCGUGGGAGGAAUGUGUGGUGUAGCGGUGAAAUGCAUAGAUAUCACACAGAACACCGAUUGCGAAGGCAUCACACGAAUACGCGAUUGACGCUGAUGCACGAAAGCGUGGGUAUCAAACAGGAUUAGAUACCCUUGUAGUC